UACGGAGGGGGCGAGCGUUAUUCGGAAUUAUUGGGCGUAAAGGGCGCGUAGGCGGCCCGGUAAGUCAAAGGUGAAAUCCCUCGGCUCAACUGAGGAACUGCCUUUGAAACUGCUGGGCUUGAGUCCGGGAGGGGGUAGCGGAAUUCCCAGUGUAGCGGUGAAAUGCGUAGAUAUUGGGAGGAACACCGGUGGCGAAGGCGGCUCACUGGACCGGAACUGACGCUGAGGCGCGAAAGCGUGGGGAGCAAACAGG
rnacentral:rRNA from 1 species